CUAUAACAUAGAGUAAGGGCCAAGAACCAUAAAUUGAGGACCAAGGAAUGAAUGACUAUAAAUUCUCAAGCUUAUGGAGGAACCAGGGGAGGAAUGGUAAGAGGUAUCAAUCCAAUUUCUUUUGUAAUCUUCUCGAAUUGAUAUUUACUUGGGCGUCGGAGUGUUUUUCUGUUUUGCAGGUCCCUUCUCCCAUAAUCGAUUACAAGAUGGAUGCGUCAAGGGCUUCUCGGAGAUUGAAGGAGAGAGAUUUAUGUUGGGUAAUCCCUCUCCCGAAUUUUUUCGCACCAACAAUAGGUUCGUGGCCAAUAGCAAAAUAAAAGUUUUUCUAACUAGGGGAUCUUGGGAAAGUAGUGUUUGAGUGUGAUGAUCGAAGUCGUCUUUCAAAAGUGCUAGCUCAAAUUGAUAUUUGAUUUUCAAAUUCUUGCUUAAUGCCAUAGAAUUAGACCUCUUCACCCCCUACAACUAAUUACAAUAUUACAUGCAGUCCUUUUCUGCAUUCUCGAUAAUGAGCAGAAUCCAUUUGCACACUGAGAUUGCAAGUUUAGAAUCUAAAUUUAUCAACACUCACUCCACCUCAACUACCUUUAAACUAAUAUAAUCCCCCUUCUUUUCUCUUUUCUUUGUUAAUAAAUUGUAUUUGAUUCUGAGAGAAGAUUUGGAUUGCUCGAUCGGUUUGCUCCAAAGCUUCUUGUAUAUGCAGUUGCAGUUGCAGUUGCCCACGUAUCUCAGGAAGGAGGACAAUACAGUCCAAAGCAGAAUGACAAGGCAAAUGCAAAAGACAAUUAACAAGAAGCUAGUAGCAACCCCAACUUUAGUUACAUCCAUGUUCCCAUAAAAAUACCUAAAGUUGAAAAAAGCAUGGGCCAGCAUGUUAAUGCUUCAAGUAUAUGCUUGGAAGAUACUCUUUCCACCGAACCCAAACAAUAUUCCUAUAACCCCUUUAAAGCUCACAAGCCUCCUCUUUCACUACCACUCCUUCUCUCUAGCUAAUUGUGGAACUCAUCCAUGGCCUCCAUCAAAGCUUCCAUAGCAACUACAAGGGCAUGCAGCGGCCAGAUCAGUGAGGGUGAUGAAGACGAGGACAACAAAGAUGAGGAGGAUCGAGGAGGGUAUAAACCACCGCCAUUAAAAGUUUGAUGUCGAUCAUUACUUUUUUGGGGCAACUAAGGACUCUUUGGCAGAGCAAUAUCUAGGAUGAUGCCUGAUGAUGUUCAGUUUGAUCAUUAAGAAGCGUUCUAACUGGUGGUUACAGAUCGAUUGUGAUGUAAUGAUGGAAUGGGCCAACUUCACAGAAAGAAUGGGGACUUUAAAGUAUGAAAACGAAGUAACUAGCAGAUUCAUCCACAGAUCCAUGGUGGAGUUGGUUUUGUGUUUAGGAUCGGAGUUGGAAUAAGUUGCCAAUAAUUAAUUAUUCUGAAAAUUUGAAACCA